UAUCGGAACGUGCCCAGUCUGGGGGAUAACGUAGCGAAAGCUACGCUAAUACCGCAUACGUCCUACGGGNGAAANCGGGGGAUCUUCGGACCUCGCGCCAUUAGAUGAGCCUAGGUCGGAUUAGCUAGUUGGUGAGGUAAUGGCUCACCAAGGCGACGAUCCGUAACUGGUCUGAGAGGAUCGAUCAGUCACACUGGAACUGAGACACGGUCCAGACUCCUACGGGAGGCAGCAGUGGGGAAUAUUGGACAAUGGGCGAAAGCCUGAUCCAGCCAUGCCGCGUGUGUGAAGAAGGUCUUCGGAUUGUAAAGCACUUUAAGUUGGGAGGAAGGGUAGUAACCUAAUACGUUGCUACUUUGACGUUACCGACAGAAUAAGCACCGGCUAACUUCGUG
rnacentral:rRNA from 1 species